CAGCCUCCCUCUUCAGUGUAAGCAGUGGCUGCCCCAGCCCUCUGUUUCCGGCUUCUCCGACUACCCAGGUCCCUCCCUGGAGCUCUGACGACACAGAGAAGAGAAAGUGGGCUGGAGGAGGAAGAGGAAGAAAGUGGGAUGGGGAGACUGUGAUGUCAUCAGAGGACUUACAGGCAUAUCUGAUGUGGGUCAAACUCCACUUAAAAGCUUUGUGACUGUGUGUCAACCUCUCAAACGGAGACAAGGAUUGUGCCCACUUGACACGGCCUAGGCCAGGGUGAGGUGCUGAGUGUGCUGAGUUGGAGGAGGUGCUCACCUUCAGGUCAUAUAAGUGUGGAGUUGGCUAGACUACUGGUAACGACACCCCCACUUGCAUGACCCUGAGAGUUGGUUCCUUGCUUGCCUCACCCUCCUCCGGGCCCUGCCAUCCCACCAGUGGCUGUGAAGAAUGCAGGAGGAAAAGCAGAGAAAAAAGAAUGUUGCAGUCUGGGAACUGCAGGUUGCAACCCAACAGUGAGUCACGAAAUCAAUCAGAAACAGUUAUUUUCCAUCAACCAGAUUUCCAUCUUGUUGGAAGUUUGUGGACGUUCUACAAGUGUUUGGAAGAACAGCUUACGACCACUCAGUGGUGGUUCCUACCCAUUCAGGCCUGAGCGGUGGGAGCCGCAGCAGACCAGUCUUCAGUGGGAGGCGGAGCACUCCAGUCUUCAGUGGGAGGCGGCGCAUUCCAAUCUUCAGUGGGAGGCGGAGCACUCCAGUCUUCAGUGGAAGGCAGAGCACUCUAGUCUUCAGUGGAAGGCGGAGCACUCCAGUCUUCAGUGGGAAACUGCUGAAUAGGCACGGAAGGCGCCUGCACGCCUUGAGACCAGUCUGCCACCUCAGGCUGAGUAGCAGUGAACUCUGGAGCUGGAGCAGCCCAUUUACCCUGAAAUUCCUCCUUGGUCACAGCCUUCUCAGCUGCUGCCUGCUCUUCCUUUUCAAUCUCUUCAGGAUCUCUGUA